UACGUAGGGGGCAAGCGUUGUCCGGAAUCAUUGGGCGUAAAGCGCGUGUAGGCGGUUCGGUAAGUCUGCUGUGAAAGUCCAGGGCUCAACCCUGGGAUGCCGGUGGAUACUGUCGGACUAGAGUACGGAAGAGGCGAGUGGAAUUCCCGGUGCAGCGGUGAAAUGCGUAGAUAUCAGGAGGAACACCUGAGGCGAAAGCGGCUCUCUGGACCACAACUGACGCUGAGGCGCGAAAGCUAGGGGAGCAAACAGG
rnacentral:rRNA from 1 species